AUUUAAACAAUCGAUAAUUUUUUAUUAUUAAUUGUUAGGUCAGUCUCACGGAAAAAAAAAAAAAAAAAAAGCCAUGGGGCUAGUGAGAUUCAAAUUUUUUAAAACUUUCUAGGUUUUAUAAUAGUUUCCUUUAAUUUUUAAUUAUAUACUAGCCUCUUGUCACAUGCUCACGCAUAUGCCAAUUGGUUUUCUUUUUCUUUUUU
rnacentral:lncRNA from 1 species